rnacentral:ncRNA from 1 species
ACCUCGGGGAGCCUUACAUUGGCUGAGAUGCGCAAGCGAACCCGUAGAACCUGAACCGGAUAACGCCGGCGGAGGGAAGGAUAAACUU